UUCCAUUUAUUCAAUCUUGACGUUGUUCUAUUCUGUUCAUCUGGCUGUGACGGAAGAUGCAGAGGAAGGGUGAGGGAUAGAGAGUUAGAAACAUCAUUGAAAGAUAAACACCGAUCAGCUGCCUCCUGCACAACCCCUACUGGAGAUAUGCCUGAAACCAAGAAAACAUAGGAUUUAAAAACAAAACAAAACUGUGAACACUCUGAGACUGCAUCCUACUUACAAGAGAAUAUAUCCUUGCCAGUGUCAUGAGUUUGAAGAAGACAAAAACUUAUGAAUAAGAGAGAAAAGACUAUUAUAGCACAACAGCGAAGAGCAUAAGUAUCAGCAUAUUUUCACCAGUUCCCCUUGCCCUCAGUUCCACGAAAGUGAAGAGAUGGGUCAAGGCUGGCAAAGAUUCUCUCCUUGACCAGAAUCUUCUGGGCCCUGUUCUCAACCAGACCUCAAGCUUGGCCUAUAAAAUCUUGAACAAAACACUAAUAUGGUUUCCAACAGCGCAAGGCCACAUUCCUAGGAUAAUGCCAGCCCGUGUUAAAGUGCCUGCCUGUCGACAUUCAAGGCUACCAAAACAACUCACUGCUUGUGCCAGCCAACCUGAAGAUAAGGCCUCUGACUCCCAGCCUCUGUGGGAGGAUCUGAGCCUAAUUUCCAUGAACAGCAGCUAGCACAUCCAGGUGGUUUUCACAAGGACCAACAGUCCCUUCUGACUUUUGUAAUUUUUUACUUCACUGAUUCUGCUGCGCCCCGGCUCACCCCUCUUCUUAUUCCCUCAUUCUCCCUUUAAAAACAGUCACCUCUGUACAAAUUGAAAUUGAGUUCAGUACAAGCUGAACUAUUUUCCUUAUAGCAACAGUAUAUUAUGAUUAAAAUCUGUCCUUACCACUUUA